CCUACGGGAGGCAGCAGUGGGGAAUUUUCCGCAAUGGGCGAAAGCCUGACGGAGCAAUACCGCGUGAGGGAGGAAGGCUCUUGGGUUGUAAACCUCUUUUGUCAGGGAAGAAGAUCUGACGGUACCUGACGAAUCAGCAUCGGCUAACUCCGUGCCAGCAGCCGCGGUAAUACGGGGGAUGCAAGCGUUAUCCGGAAUUAUUGGGCGUAAAGCGUCCGCAGGUGGUUGUUCAAGUCUGCUGUUAAAGCAUGGGGCUUAAUUCCAUAUAGGCAGUGGAAACUGGACGACUAGAGUACGGUAGGGGUCGCGGGAAUUCCCAGUGUAGCGGUGAAAUGCGUAGAUAUUGGGAAGAACACCAAGUGGCGAAAGCGCGCGGCUGGACCUGUACUGACACUGAGGGACGAAAGCUAGGGGAGCGAAAGGGAUUAGAUACCCCUGUAGUCCUAGCUGUAAACGAUGGAUACUAGGUGUUGCCCGUAUCGACCCGGGCAGUGCCGUAGCUAACGCGUUAAGUAUCCGCCUGGGGAGUACGCACGCAAGUGUGAAACUUAAAGAUAGUAGCGNGNGAGUAGCGACGACGCACGAGGAGUAGAG
rnacentral:rRNA from 1 species